UCAAGCCACGCUGGAAGUCCCUCCCGAGACUAAUCCGCCGUAAGCUCCUCCACGCACCAUUACCGUCAGCCACCGACGGUCGCUCAGCCGCUCUCCCCGUGUAAAGCCGUCAUUGUAUUUCAAAUAUCCAGAGCUCCCCUGAAGAAAUGAAGGAAAACAGGCUGAAAAACAGGAGUAUAGGUCAAAUUUGCACUCAUGGCGUCCACCAUGGCACCAGCCAUAGGGUAGGCCAUGACAUGGACCACCUCCUGCUGACCUCAACUGCCACGUUCCCCACUUUCUUUCAUUUACACUCAUGACGGGCGCCAUGGCCUCCAU